UUUUUAGGCUUGUUCCUAUUCCUGAUAGUAUUGGGGUUGUACUAGCUGGUUCAUAUUGUGACAUUGUGUGCUCUAUAAGUACCUCUAUGAUCGGGAUUCAUGUUGUCGGAGAUUUACAAAUCGAGAAAGUAGUUAUUCGUAUCGUUGGAGAUUUACAAAUCGAGAAAGUAGUUUGAUAAGUGAGAAGAUCGAUGAGGAAAUCGGGUGGGGGGAAUCUAAGGAGAUUAUUAUUCGGGGUGAUUGUUCUGUGUUGUUUUUGCUUUGUUGAUGUUGUGGCAAGAUCACCAAGAGGUUAUGGACUACCAAGACAAGAUGCGGUGGAGAUCAAGAUGGUAAAAGGUGGAGUUGUGUUGGAUAAUAAGCUUGUGCAAGUCACUUUUUCUAGGCCUGGUGGGGAUGUUAUUGGAAUAAGGUACGGAGGAAUUGACAACUUGCUUGAAACCAAUAACGAGGAAGGUAAUAGAGGGUACUGGGAUGUGGUUUGGAAUAAGCCUGGAGAGGCGAAAAACACACAGUACAAGCUACAGGGAACACGGUUUAAAGUGAUCACGGCGAGGCCGGACCAAGUUGAAAUUUCUUUCACCACCAAGUACAAUGCAAACCUCCACCGGGGCGUGUCAGUUCCGGUGAAUGUUGAUAAAAGGUACAUAAUGCAGCGAGGACGUUCGGGGUUCUAUACAUAUGCCAUCUUCGAGCGUCUUGAAGGGUGGCCAGGAGGGGACAUGGAGACGCUUAGAGUGGCUUACAAGCUUAAACAAGCCAACUUUCGCUACAUGGCACUAUCGGACACUAGGCAAAGGUUCAUGCCCACAGCCGAGGACCGAGCACGCGGUAGGCCACUUGCAUUUAAAGAAGCUGUUCUCUUGAGCAAGGAGGCAAGUAGUCCUGAAUUUGUAGGGGAAGUAGAUGAUAAAUAUCAGUACUCGGCCGAGGACAAAGAUAUCAAGGUGCAUGGUUGGAUCUCUAUGGCACCACCGGUGGGAUUUUGGAUGAUCACACCUAGUGAUGAGUCUCGUAUAGCUGGUCCUUUCAAGCAGGACCUCACCUCCCACGUUGGACCAACUUCAAUGACUGUUUUCUUGUUCUCAUUAUGUUGGGAAAGAAGUUGGGCUGAAUUUUCAAGAAGGUGAGGCAUGGAAGAAGGUUUUCGGACCUGUGUUUGUCUAUCUUAACUCGGCAGCUCCAAGCUCACAUAGUUCUUCAAUGAUCAGUACAUUAUGGAACAAUGCCAAAGAUCAAAUGCUUGAAGAAGUUAAAAGUUGGCCAUACAAUUUCAUUAGUUCUCAAGACUAUCCUUCUUCAAAUCAACGUGGAUCGGUUUCAGGCCAGUUACCAGUACAUGAUCGAUACGUUAAGGGGCUUCACAGGGCGAAUUCGGCUUACGUGGGAUUGGCUGCACCUGGAGAAGUUGGAACAUGGCAGAGGGAAAGCAAGGGAUACCAAUAUUGGACUCAAACCGAUGAAAAGGGCUAUUUUAACAUUGAAAAUGUUAGACCCGGGCACUAUAGUCUGUAUGCAUCUGUUCCAGGUAUAGUUGGAGACUACAAAUAUGAGUUUGACAUUACAAUUGAGCCAGGAAGUAAGAUCGAAUUGGCUAGUAUUACUUACAAACCUCCGAGAAUCGGUCCUACAUUGUGGGAAAUCGGCAUCCCUGAUCGCUCAGCUGCCGAGUUCUACAUACCGGAUCCAUAUCCAACUCUGAUGAACAAGUUGUACAAGGGAAGUGAUUUGGAUAAGUUUAGGCAAUACGGUUUGUGGUCACGUUAUUAUGAGCUUUACCCUCACAAUGACCUCAUCUACAAUGUUGGUGUUAACAAUUACAGUGACGACUGGUUCUAUGCUCAAGUGACUAGAAGUGUAGGAAAUGGCCGGUAUGUAGGAACUACAUGGCAGAUACAGUUUGAACUCGACAAUGUGGUCAAUCCCGGUAACUAUACACUUCAGCUGGCAUUGGCAUCGGCCACUUAUGCAGAGUUGCAAGUUCGAAUUAACCAUUUGAAUGCCGAGCGACCUCUUUUUUCGACAGGGCUAAUAGGUGACGAUAAUGCUAUAGCAAGACAUGGAAUCCAUGGUUUAUACUGGUUCUGGAGUAUUAAUGUUCCGAGCAUUUUACUACGCGAAGGAAGCAACACAAUCUAACUUACUCAGUCGAGAGGGGGCACUUCACCUUUCCAAGGAGUCAUGUAUGACUAUAUAAGACUAGAAGGACCUUCUGAGAAACCAUAAUCAUACUGUAGCUAACCAUACAAUUUUUAACCACAUUUCUUUUUUCUUUUUCACAUAGACUUAGAACUGGGCAAGAAUCAGCUUGUUAAUUCCUCCUUGUUUUAUGACUGAUGACUUGUGUGACUUAUCUGCACCAUAACUAAAUUAUAUUUACUUCAUGUAAAGGGGUUCAGUUCUUGUUAAUUCUUCUCCUUCAUAGGUCUGGUUACAAUGGCGGACCUAGGAUUUUAGGUUAGGGUGGGCUAAAUUUUUUUUUUUAAAGUUCUUUAAUUUUUUUUCUUUUAUAUUUUACAUAUCACAUUUUAGAUUAAAAACAUAUCAAAUAAUCAUGUAGUUAACUGAUCAUUAAGAAAUUAAUAUUAUAACAUUUUAUAAAAAUUCGAUAACAAAAGUUAAAGAUAAAAGAACAUACUUACUCAAAUUGAAUCCUACGCUCUUAAAUAGAAGCAAAAGCUAAUAUCUAAGCACACAAUCACCGCUCUAACAAUACAGUAAACGAGUCGAGUGUAUAAUCCUUAAACCUAACUGGAUGAAAAAACAACAAUCUAAUAACUAUGAAUCAAACGUUGAUACUAUUAC